UCCGUAGGUGAACCUGCGGAAGGAUCAUUACCGAAUUGUCGACACGAGUUGUUGCUGGUCCUCAAAUGGGGGCAUGUGCACGCUCUGUUCACACAUCCACUCACACCUGUGCACCCUCUGUAGUUCUAUGGUCUGGGGGGGCUCUGCCCUCUCACCCGUGGUUCUAUGUCUUCACACACGCACUGUAAUAAGGUUUCAUGGAAUGCAUGACGCGUUUAACGCAAUACAAUACAACUUUCAGCAACGGAUCUCUUGGCUCUCGCAUCGAUGAAGAACGCAGCGAAAUGCGAUAAGUAAUGUGAAUUGCAGAAUUCAGUGAAUCAUCGAAUCUUUGAACGCACCUUGCGCCCUUUGGUAUUCCAGAGGGCAUGCCUGUUUGAGUAUCAUGAACACCUCAACUCUCACGGUCCGCCGCGAUGAGCUUGGACUUUGGGGGUCUUGCUGGCCUGCGGUCGGCUCCUCUCAAAUGAAUCAGCUUGCCAGUGUUUGGUGGCAUCACGGGUGUGAUAACUAUCUACGCUUGUGGUUUUCCACCAGGUAACCUUCAGCAAUGGAGGUUCGCUGGGGCUCACAAAUGUCCCUCCUUGGUGAGGACAGCUUCUUGAAUGUUUGAUCUCAAAUCAGGUAGGGCUACCCGCUGAACUUAAGCAUAUCAAUAAGCGGAGGA
rnacentral:rRNA from 1 species